rnacentral:tRNA from 1 species
UUAAUUGAAACCAAAAUAGAGGUAUAUCACUGUUAAUGAUAUUAAUGAAAUAAAAUUUCCAAUUAAA